UGUAGUAACAGAUGAACUCAGUAGGAAGAAUGUAGGUACACUAGCUUGUAUGAUGGUUUUUGAGUGAAAGCUUUUAGAAGCUGUGCAGGAGAUUCAACUUCAUGAUCAGGUUGAAGGUGUUUACUUGGCCAGUUUGAAUGUCUAACCUACAAUACUACAAUAGGUCAGAGAUGCUUAGUUGAUUGACUCUAUAUUAUUGAUAAUUAGGAGAGACACAU
rnacentral:lncRNA from 1 species